rnacentral:rRNA from 1 species
AGUGAACGCUGGCGGCGUGCCUAAUACAUGCAAGUCGAACGGAGUGGCGAACGGGGGAGUAAUAUAUAGCUAAUCUGCCCCUUGCUGGAGGACAACAGUUAGAAAUGACUGCUAAUACUCCAUAGCAAGGGAUGAGACUAUAGCGUAUCAGAUAGUCGGUGUGGUAACGGCCUACCGAGGCGAUGACGCGUAACUGGUCUGCGAGGAUGAUCAGUCACAUCGGAACUGAGACACGGUCAAAACUCCUACGGGAGGCAGCAGUAGGGAAUAGUGCGCAAUGGGGGAAACCCUGACGCAGCUACGCCGCGUGGAGGAUGACUCUUUUCGGAGCGUAAACUCCUUUUGUUAGGGAAGCGGUACCUAACGAAUAAGCACCGGCUAACUACGUGCCAGCAGCCGCGGUAAUAC